AGUUGCAUGGUGGUCUGCUCUCCCUUUUGUCUCCCCUGGUGCUAGGCCUAAAACCCAGGGGCUGUACACUCUGGGUACAGGCUCUCCUGCUAAGCUCCAACUCCAGCACAGCUGUCUGUGGCUGACUAGAGCGGGAGAGGAGAGAGGAGAUGGGCUUACAGUUGGUUGGAGGUGUGUGCAAGGGGUGGCUGCAGUUUGCUCUUACUCCUGUGUUCAUGUCCCCAGUGCUCUGGCGUUGCUUCAGCACUGUGGUCAUCUUCCUCUUCCUGCUGGAUGAACAGACAAGCCUGCUGGUGCUGAUCCCUGCAGGUGUUGGGGCUGCCAUUGAGGUGAGUCCUGGGCACCAGCUGGGUCAGGACUGGGGUUUCUGUGAGGUCUGUGAACUCUAAUGCUUGCCCAGCUGCUCCGAGUGCUGAAACAGGCAAUCUGAGGACCUGACCUGCAUACCUGGAGAAACAGGUUUAGAGAGGCAGCUGCUUGGUAAAGAGGUCUCUAAGAGUACAACUCAGAACAGUAGAUUGCGUUAGGCAGACCCGGUAUUAACAAGGUGAUAAGCUCUAAGUGAAACAGGACGGUGUGACGCUGAAGAAGCUCCUGGUUGAUAGGCAGUUGGAUGGGGCAGUCAUAUGGACGUAGUUAAUGCCUCUCCACACCUUGUAACACUGCUGCUAGGAGGGGCUUGUAGAAAGGAGCCAUGGGAGCUCCGUUUGGAAAGAAGGCACCGAAGGAGCUUGAUCCAGAGGUCUAGU
rnacentral:lncRNA from 1 species